rnacentral:rRNA from 1 species
AUGGUGAGAUUGGAGCAAUUGCCGAUCUCCUACUCGUGGGUUCGGCCACUCCGGUGGAGGAUGCCAUGCACCCGACAAGCACAUUGCGCACGUAGCAGAACGUGGGGCAGGCCAAUGGAGGUGUUGUCGCGUGAUCCAGAGCAUGUACGGGUGCAGCUAGAACUUCAAGGUCGUCAUGCCGCCGUGGCCGAUCAGCAAGGAAAUCCACAGCGGCACCGCAAGCGCGCGCUCCAUGCCAUGGAGCGGCUUUUUGGCGCAGCCGCCGCUAGCGUGGUCCGGAUAGUUUCUCCAACGAUGGAUGGAAUCUGGGUGGGCAGGAGGCUGAACGGGCGCGAGCUUAGCGGCGUCAUGAACAUCAUCAACAAGCUGUGCCUCUAUGGUUCUUCUCCUAUCUCGCGUGCGUCGUCCGUCAUGCAGGAUCUGAAUCUCAAUGUCGAGGACCUCGGUGCCCACGCACUGGUCAGACGGAGCAACGCGAUGCAGGCCAGCCAGAAGUACGAGCACUAUGUCAACACCACCGCUGCGCAUUCCAGGCCUGCAAGGUCAAUCUCCCGCACGAGUGGACGUAUCGAGAUGCAUAUUGCUCUCUUCUCUGCGACCAAGCAUCGACCGUCUCCCUUGGUUUCCAUGGAUCACUAUAUUUAA